rnacentral:rRNA from 2 species
UGACCUCAGAUCAGGUAGGGAUACCCGCUGA